rnacentral:ncRNA from 1 species
ACAUUUACGAUGAAGAGGAGUAGUAAAAGAGGCCUUCUUUCAGAGAGUGCAUGGUCGGUGAAAAUGCAUAGUAAGAAAUCUUUGAACUUACCUUGGAGAUAGUCAGUUGAUAAGGCUGAUUCGUUUAGCAACGUUAUAUGCUGAGAGUCAUCUAUUGUAGUGUGAUAGAUGAAAAAUUAGGUGGUACCACGUCGAAACGAACGUCCUAUAA